rnacentral:rRNA from 1 species
GGGUUGUGAGGUUAAGCGACUAAGCGUACACGGUGGAUGCCCUGGCAGUCAGAGGCGAUGAAGGACGUGCUAAUCUGCGAUAAGCGUCGGUAAGGUGAUAUGAACCGUUAUAACCGGCGAUUUCCGAAUGGGGAAACCCAGUGUGAUUCGUCACACUAUCAUUAACUGAAUCCAUAGGUUAAUGAGGCGAACCGGGGGAACUGAAACAUCUAAGUACCCCGAGGAAAAGAAAUCAACCGAGAUUCCCCCAGUAGCGGCGAGCGAACGGGGAGCAGCCCAGAGCCUGAAUCAGUAUGUGUGUUAGUGGAAGCGUCUGGAAAGGCGCGCGAUACAGGGUGACAGCCCCGUACACAAAAAUGCACAUGCUGUGAGCUCGAUGAGUAGGGCGGGACACGUGGUAUCCUGUCUGAAUAUGGGGGGACCAUCCUCCAAGGCUAAAUACUCCUGACUGACCGAUAGUGAACCAGUACCGUGAGGGAAAGGCGAAAAGAACCCCGGCGAGGGGAGUGAAAAAGAACCUGAAACCGUGUACGUACAAGCAGUGGGAGCACGCUUAGGCGUGUGACUGCGUACCUUUUGUAUAAUGGGUCAGCGACUUAUAUUCUGUAGCAAGGUUAACCGAAUAGGGGAGCCGAAGGGAAACCGAGUCUUAACUGGGCGUUAAGUUGCAGGGUAUAGACCCGAAACCCGGUGAUCUAGCCAUGGGCAGGUUGAAGGUUGGGUAACACUAACUGGAGGACCGAACCGACUAAUGUUGAAAAAUUAGCGGAUGACUUGUGGCUGGGGGUGAAAGGCCAAUCAAACCGGGAGAUAGCUGGUUCUCCCCGAAAGCUAUUUAGGUAGCGCCUCGUGAAUUCAUCUCCGGGGGUAG